GGAUAAUUACUGCAUGCUGGCUUCUAUCUUCUGACUUUGAAAGUCGUUAACUGUGGGGAGAAGUUGGGGGGGUGAAGGGGGUGAGGUAACCACAGGUGAUUCCAUUUAUUUAAUUCAAUGCCAGCAAAUAAACUCCUCACCACAGGCUCCUGUAAUGAAUCCGCUCCCAUGUCUCUGCUGUGUCUCAUAUUAAAAACAAAACUAAAUGCAUCCUUUUGCAGGUUGGCUCUGUUAGAAAGCAGUCGCCACUCUGGUUGAUGAUCAUGUGUCACAGCAGGUCUACACAGACCAGCAGAAGGUUGUGUGAUGGAGCUUGCUUUGGACAAGUUGAGCAGACACGGGCUUAUAAAGUAAGACUUUUGCCAGACAAAUAGUUACUUAUGUGUUGAUAAUCUGUACUUUUCUUUGUGAAAUGCUUACCUUCAGGCCUGAAAAUAAUCUUAGGCAAGACAUCCAUUUAAACAUCGUAGCAUACACACUGCUUUGUAUUAAGGGGUCACAAGGUUCAGAGGAUCUUUUCUGGUAUUAUAAGAGAAUAUGUGACGCAGCAUGCAAAAACCCACCUGUAGUCCAAAACAUUCAUUUUUUACCAAAUGUUUCCUAAAAUUUCAAAGCCUCAAGAGAUUCUUAACAUGCAAAAAAUGAUUUACCCAUCUACUAGUCUCUAGUGAGACUCGGGUUCACUUUCAGUUCUUCAUUAUCUGCAUUUGUGAUCUGGAAAAGAUCAAA